GUCACCCUAUGGGGGGCAGCAGUGAGGGAUAUUGGUCAAUGGGGGAAACCCUGAACCAGCAACGCCGCGUGAGGGAAGACGGUUUUCGGAUUGUAAACCUCUGUCCUCUGUGAAGAUAAUGACGGUAGCAGAAGAGGAAGCUCCGGCUAACUACGUGCCAGCAGCCACGGUAAUACGUAGGGAGCGAGCGUUGUCCGGAUUUACUGGGUGUAAAGGGUGCGUAGGCGGCCCUGCAAGUCAG
rnacentral:rRNA from 1 species